CAGAGGUCCCAAGCGUUGUUCGGAUUCACUGGGCGUAAAGGGUGCGUAGGUGGUAGGGUAAGUCGGAUGUGAAAUCUCCGAGCUCAACUCGGAACUGGCAUUGGAAACUACCCUGCUAGAGGGUCGGAGGGGGGACUGGAAUACUUGGUGUAGCAGUGAAAUGCGUAGAUAUCAAGUGGAACACCAGUGGCGAAGGCGAGUCCCUGGACGACUCCUGACACUGAGGCACGAAAGCUAGGGGAGCAAACAGGAUUAGAUACCCUGGUAGUCCUAGCCGUAAACGGUGCACGUUUGCUGUAAAAGGAAUCGACCCUUUUGUGGCGUAGCCAACGCGUUAAACGUGCCGCCUGGGAAGUACGGUCGCAAGAUUA
rnacentral:rRNA from 1 species